UUUACAAAAAAGAAACAUUUUGAAAAGAAUUAUUAAAAAACAAAGUUAAAUAGAUUCAAAGAUUUAAAUUCAAGCUGCAUUUGUUCUACUCUGAUACGUUUAAAAUAAAAAUUGCAUUUUGGAAAGAUUUAUAGAAAAAAAAAAGACAGUUAUGCGACGAUGAUGAAACAUUUUUGAGAAAAGGGACACCAUUGUGCGCGUGAUAAUAGCAAAACAUUUUCGUGACAUGCAUAUAUCGAGUGCAAAUGCGUCUGAGAAGACACGUGUGUCAGUAAGAAAUGACUUGCGCCGGUGAGAGGGCUGAAAUGUGGUACAAGAGGGCUGGAAAUAACCUGCGGUGUGGCUGACCCCUCAGUCUGCAUCAUAUAUAACCGCACAAGCGUUAUGUGUGCGUGAAUUAUUACAAUCUUUGCAGGAAAUCACGAUCUUCUGGAAGAUCAAUUUUAAAAGGCUGAUCAUUUUCGUCCGUUAGGUGUCAGAUUUAUGCGAUCCCUCGUGCGAAUCGAGCGUUCGCAUCAUCAUCAAUUUUUCUCUCGCCUCUCUUCCGGAAUUAUGACAGAUUCAAUUGCUAAAGCGUACUUUGAAUUACUCGACUUUGAAUUUGAUGGUGAUUUAAUUAUUCGAGGGAACGAACGUAUUCAUGGAAAUUGAUAAAAGGAAUAUUACUCAAGUUCGCGAGACGAAAUAAAAGUAGAAAUAAGAAAUAAAAUUUCCUUGAUGGUGGACGAAGAAUUUUUUUAAUAUCAUUUUUUUUAACAACAAGUUAGCGAUAUAAUAACAUAUAAUUUCGAUAAAGAAACUAUUUUUGAACUAUGCAUAUAAUGGUAUGAAUCAUAAAUGAUCUAGACUCUCUGGUCAGUAAAGUUAAUGCACGUAUAACAUGUAUAAUGAUACAUCAUUUUUAAUAUCAUACUUAAUUUUUAUGAAUACGUUUAUCUAUAUUACAGGAAUUUAUUUAAAAUGGUUUAUCAUUAUUCCCUUACUUUUCCCAAUUUUUCAAAUUAAACAACGAAAAGGAUUUUAAAUUUUGAAUCGUUUAUCGUCGAUAAAUCUUUUCUAAAAAAAAAAAAAAAAGGAAACCUUAGAAAUUUUAAAUAAAAUUGCCAUUAAAUGAAUUUCCCUUGAACUACGCAACAUCGACGUGUAGCGUCGUAGUAUCGUUCCGCUGGCAAUCGAAUAUUUUCCUUAUCAAAGUGCGAUCACCUGCUGCUCGCAAAGUGGCAACGAGCAUUCAUUUUAUUUUAUUACGAAACGUAUGCAUACGAUAUCUGUUGCCCGCUAUAUAUACUUGCUCCGUUGCGGUAUCAUCAUGCUGUUAGAUAAGGCGACGACCUUAACUAAGGAAAUCGUGAAAAGUUGAUCAACGACUGAUCAAAAUGAAGUUAUCGAUCAUAAUAAUCCUGCCUCCAUAAAAGAUCUCUGACAACAGGACACGAGGAAAAGGGGAGAUAGUGACGUUGCACGGUUGAACAAAGGGAAAAACUCGAGCACGGCUGGUGAACAGUCGCAAAGCGUGAGGGGUGGGGAAAGAGGAAAGGACAGAAAACGACGAAAAGGGAAUGGGUAUCUUCUCAGGUAUGAAAUACACGCAUAUAAGCGAAGCAAACCAAUGAAGGAUUCUUUGGUGAGUUGCCAAUAAUACCGCUGCCGUUGAAUCUUGCUGCCAUCCAAUCGACUGGAGAUUAUCUUGUGGUGAAACCAGAAAGGGGGAAACCGGUGCAUAGUCUCGGUUAACCGAUCUUAGUCCAGAUAAAAGGACAAAUUGUGGUUACAAUGUUGUAUAGUACAGUUCCGAAUAAAAGACAGUGUCGAGUUCAUUCGAAUAGCAAAUAGAUAAUGUUGAUAAAAUAUUUGUAUCGAACAGAUGGGACGGAAAUUCUUUCUAUCUUAGAUAAUUAAACUUGUUUAAAUCAAGUGCGAAGAAUUUUUGAGAAACGAAAUCUCUUAAUUCCGUGUAUUCUUUGUUUCGAUUUUUUGUUUUAAUUCUACGUAUUUGUAUUUGCUCAAAAUGUAAUAUUUCUAUAUUCAUCAUUUUGUACCAAGACAACACGUAAUUUAUAUAAAUGCUCAAAAGGAUCAAAUCCAAUUUCUGAAAUAGCUAUGAUCUCAUGCUCAACAAAUCUAGCAUGUGUCAUAAAUCAUCCCUUAAGCUAUUUACAGUGCGUGCAUUUCGCGUGAGUGAAGAUCUGUCAUUCUGGCGACUAUAUGGAAACUAUUCGUGAAAUGAAUUUUGUUUAUGGGAUUAAUAUUUGUUUAAUUGUUUCGAUGAAUUUGUAAGGAAAGUAGUUUAUCAAAAAAUUCAUUGUAAACUAAAAUUAAUAUAAAAUCCAUGUGUUUCAGUAUUGUAUAACGAAUAUAUUGGAUAUUAUUCACAAAAAUAUUAUCAAGGAAGAUAAUUCAUGAACAUAAACCAGUUCACCAGAAACAAACUGUUCUGUUCACGAACUCAUCAACAUGAACUCACUGUUCAUGAACUGUUCAAGAGCAAUUUUCCAAUUGUUUAAAAACUGUUAUACUGAGAAAAGCAAAAGCAGAGCAUAAUCCAAAAUCAGCUUAAAUGUGUAAAUAAUUUCUACAAGGAUUGCUAUAAUUAUAUACAGAGAAUCACAAUUUGAUUGGGAUCAAAUUAUAAAAAGUUGUUGAACAUAGAUUAGAAUUGAUAAAAAUGGUAGAAUUCUAGUCGCAACAAACUGUUGACAAUGAUCAAGAAUAGAUGACGUGGUCAGUCACGACGAUGCAUACACAUUGACAUUCGAUGGAAUCGAGACUAUGCAGAGGAAUUCCUUUUCUUCAACUACCUGUAAAAAGCUUACAAUACAAUUGUGGUUUCAUUCAUUGCGUUGUUUGAUUUAAACCGUGGUUGCGUAUACAAUAACCAACGCUAUUAAUCAAAUGAUCCAGAAACUCGAAUAUCUAUCUAUAAUGAUAUUCGUUUUAAUAACAUUUCUAUAUAAAAAGACAUUAUAAAAUUUAUAUCGUAUAAUAAUUAUCAUAUUGUUGUAAAAUAUAUCUUAUACUAUAUGCUUGAACAAAAUUUACUUGAAUCAGAACAAUCGAGUUCCAGAUACUUUUUAAUUUAUAGCAAGUACAAUAUUAAUCGAUUUACUAUUCCACGUGGAACAAAACAAACUCAGAAAGAGUCACUUUUACAAAAAUAUUACAAAAAUUGAGAAAUUUGUUAAUGAAGAAACAAAUAAUAUUAACAAUGUUGUUGAAGUUAUCUUAGAAUUAUUAAUAUUAAACAGUUGUUCUUAAAAUAGUGUAAAAGGUUGUUAGAUUCUGAUUUCUGAUUUAAUUAUUUCAAUUAGAUAAUAGUUGUAAAUAUAUUUAAGGAACGAUGCAGAGGAAAUUUUUAUUAAUUCAUAAUUUUUUACUCAAUUAUUCUCAAUAUUUGUUAAAUAUGAUAAGAAGGAUUAGAAGGUAUUUCUCGUAUUGCGUUAAAUUCAAUUUAACGUAAAUUCAUCCCAACAGUACGUAGCCAUCGAUUGUCUACGCCAAUGCACAAUAUAUUCGUCUAACUAUAAUCUUAAAUGGAGAGUUUAGCCCCGUGGAAGAUGUAUGGUAUGGAAUAAAUCCGAAUGCAACAUUGCUACUUUGUCGGCGAGAAGACGUAUGAUGUGGGAAACAUUCGAUGCGACGGUGGGAGGGUAAUUUAAGCUCGGUUCACAACUGUACGAGUAACUAACUUUACAUUAUUAUGCCCUCUAUCGAACGACGUUACAAUGUAAUUUAUCAAUCUCGUAAAUUUUUAAUCAUCGAAAGGUGAAAUUUACUCGUAAAUAAAAUUAUUUUUAUCGUGUUGAGAAAUUGAACGGGGAAUAUCAACAUCUCCGAGUAUGAAUUAAUCUUAAACUGGUUUGAGAAAGGCACGUAGAAGGGGCAGGGCAAAGAAGAAAUGCGAAAUGACCGACACUGUGCGACCAACCGAACAUUGCAUUGGCGUAACAGACGUGGAAUCAGUUUUUUAAUCAGAAAUAUUGGCCAUUUUAGUGCGCGAACCGAUGGCUCCAAGUUUGAUGCAUAAAUUGCUUAUUAUUAUUUACAACGUGUACAAGACAGAGACUUAUUGAAGCUGAGUUUUUUUCCCCUCGUGUUUCGUAUGAUCAGUUUCUUUUCCCUUCACAUCCAUCUUCAGCUCGUUCUCUUAUUUUGUAAUACCUUUGUUCGUGUUUUCUUACUUGUUAAUCAAUACACGUCAAACCUUUUUUUUUUAA